UUACAAAACCAUUUACAUACAUCCUGUAAAACUCAAAACCACCUUUUGCUCCUCAUUAUCCCACACGAUUACACUAGAGGGAGAGAGAGUGGACGAGAUGAGUGAAUCGGCACACUAGGGUUCCGGCGGGUGGUAGUCGUCCGGUCAUCUCUGUUGACGUCGUACUCCGACAACUCAACCAGAAACGGUGAUGAGUAUAGAGAUUCCGACAGUGGUUCACAUAAGAUGGAAUUGUUUACAACCGCAAUUGGCUCCUAGAAACAGUUUGCUUAUGAUUCUCACAAAAAUUUCUACGCGACUCUUCCAAAGUUCAAACUCAUCUCAAACAGUAUACCAGAUCAAUCACACGCAGUGAAUACAUGUACGAUUCGCUGAUGAAUCGAAAAGGUAACCAAUGGUGUUGAGGUUCACCCCUUGGGUUUCUUCACCAAUUGUGGAAAGAUUCGGUUUUACUGCUAGGACAUAGCUGGACAGACUGAAUAUUAGUUAACUCGAUCAUAAAGCAAGCUGAAUUAUCUGCAACAUUCAUGGUCAAUGUGCCAUUAUAUUUUUGAUGGAACUUCAAGAUUGACAUACAAGAAUGUUCUCUCAUGGCAUCGUGAUCAUUGUCGUGUGUGUGGAAACAAGGUUGAUGUAAAGGACUGUUAAGUGAAGGCAAACAGGUUACUUUCCAUAAAAUAAUCUGCAGUAUUAUGAGAUCUCAGCCAAGAGCAAUUCAACUUUGAGAAGCCCUUUCUUUAUCUCGCCACGAAACUUGCUGGGGACCUCAACUUGCAUUUUGUGGAGUCUCAUAUGCUAGCUAGCUCUUCUAAUGGUGCGACUAGACAUGUUCGUUGAAUAAUAACGAAAGGCUUAAUGACAUCGUUGGAAGUGCAUACUAGGUGGCGCCAGAAGUUCUACGUAGAAUAUCUAUUCUUUUAUGUGGAAGUAGGCCCUUUUGCGCCUAAACUAAAUCCGGUUUUCCCGGUUGUUUUAAAACGUUUGAUGAAGUAUCUUGGCCUACAUUAUCCUCUGAGGCCAAAGAUUUCUUAAACGUUUAUUAUUAAACAAGAAUCCUAUAAAGAAUGACGGCUGCUGAAGCAUUGAGUUAUUCUUUCCAUUUGUUGUAUAGUGCUAAUGCUAAUUUAGUUUGGAUUACUUUGAACUAAAUAGAAUGAAAUAUUUGUAGGUCAUCCAUGGAUUAGAAAUGCAAAUGAUUUGAAAGUGCCACUCGAUGUCUCAGUAUUGAGACACAUGAACAAUUAUAUGCGUUCUUCUGCUCUUCAUAAAGCUACUAUACAGAUAAACAAAAACGAACGUUAGGAAUGAUAGGAAGGGGAAACACCGUUUGUGCAGUUGCCAGCUGGGAAAGAACCAUAACUGGAAGCCGUAGUCCAAUAAGCCACAUUGCAUAGGAAAAUGCCUUUUAUCAAGUUAUGUUAGCUAACAUGCUCCAUGUUAGGCACGUAACAUGUGAAUUAAACAUAGAUACUAACUUUUUUUUGCAUCUGCUUAUGUAACUAUAUCGAUUCGACUCAAUGACAACCAGCUGAAGGGAGAUAUAAAUCUAGCCCCUGCCGCAUCGCGGCGGGUUACACUUCUAGUUA